rnacentral:tRNA from 1 species
GGAGAGAUGCGAGAGCGGUCGAAUCGGGCGGUCUCGAAAACCGUUGAGCCCUUACGGGUUCCGAGGGUUCGAAUCCCUCUCUCUCCG